rnacentral:rRNA from 1 species
GGCACGACACCGGAGAGGGAGCCUGAGAAACGGCUACCACAUCCAAGGAAGGCAGCAGGCGCGCAAAUUACCCAAUCCCGACAUGGGGAGGUAGUGACAAUAAAUAACAAUACAGGGUUCUUUUGGAUCUUGUAAUUGGAAUGAGUACAAUUUAAAUCUCUUAACGAGGAACAAUUGGAGGGCAAGUCUGGUGCCAGCAGCCGCGGUAAUUCCAGCUCCAAUAGCGUAUAUUAAAGUUGUUGCAGUUAAAAAGCUCGUAGUUGAAUUUCAGGAUCAAGGAAUCGGUCAUGCCUUGGUAUGUACUGGUUUUAUUGGUUCUCACCUUCUAAAGAACCAUAAUGUCAUUCAUUUGAUGUUAUGGGGAAUUAGGACUGUUACCUUGAAAAAAUUAGAGUGUUUAAAGCAGGCUUACGCUUGAAUACAUUAGCAUGGAAUAAUGAAAUAGGACAUCAGAUUCUAUUUUGUUGGUUUCUAGGAUCGAUGUAAUGAUUAAUAGGGAUAGUUGGGGGCAUUAGUAUUCAAUUGUCAGAGGUGAAAUUCUUGGAUUUAUUGAAGACUAACUACUGCGAAAGCAUUUGCCAAGGAUGUUUUCAUUAAUCAAGAACGAAAGUUAGGGGAUCGAAGACGAUCAGAUACCGUCGUAGUCUUAACCAUAAACUAUGCCGACUAGGGAUCG